AGUGAACGCUGGCGGUAGGCCUAACACAUGCAAGUCGAACGGCAGCACAGUAAGAGCUUGCUCUUACGGGUGGCGAGUGGCGGAUGGGUGAGGAAUACAUCGGAAUCUACUUUUUCGUGGGGGAUAACGCAGGGAAACUUACGCUAAUACCGCAUACGACCUACGGGUGAAAGCAGGGGAUCUUCGGACCUUGCGCGAUUGAAUGAGCCGAUGUCGGAUUAGCUAGUUGGCGGGGUAAAGGCCCACCAAGGCGACGAUCCGUAGCUGGUCUGAGAGGAUGAUCAGCCACACUGGAACUGAGACACGGUCCAGACUCCUACGGGAGGCAGCAGUGGGGAAUAUUGGACAAUGGGCGCAAGCCUGAUCCAGCCAUACCGCGUGGGUGAAGAAGGCCUUCGGGUUGUAAAGCCCUUUUGUUGGGAAAGAAAAGCAGCAGGUUAAUACCCCGCUGUUCUGACGGUACCCAAAGAAUAAGCACCGGCUAACUUCGUG
rnacentral:rRNA from 1 species